rnacentral:rRNA from 1 species
GUGAGGAAUAUUGCACAAUGAGCGAAAGCUAGAUGCAGCAACGCCGCGUGGACGAUGAAGGCCUUCGGGUCGUAAAGUCCUUUUCAGGGGGACGAGUGAGGACGGUACCCCUGGAAUAAGUCACGGCUAACUACGUGCCAGCAGCCGCGGUAAAACGUAGGUGGCGAGCGUUAUCCGGAUUCACUGGGCGUAAAGCGCCUGCAGGCGGUCUCGUAAGUGGGGUGUGAAAUCUCCUGGCUUAACUGGGAGGGGUCAUUCCAUACUGCGGGACUGGAGGGCAGAAGAGGGGAGUGGAAUUCCCGGUGUAGUGGUGAAAUGCGUAGAUAUCGGGAGGAACACCAGUGGCGAAGGCGACUCCCUGGUCUGCUCCUGACGCUAAGAGGCGAAAGCUAGGGGAGCGAACGGGAUUAGAAACCCCAGUAGUCC